UACAGAGGUCCCAAGCGUUGUUCGGAUUCACUGGGCGUAAAGGGUGCGUAGGCGGCGCGGUAAGUCGGGUGUGAAAUCUCGGAGCUUAACUCCGAAACUGCAUUCGAUACUGCCGUGCUUGAGGACUGGAGAGGAGACUGGAAUUUACGGUGUAGCGGUGAAAUGCGCAGAUAUCGGGAAGAACACCCGUGGCGAAGGCGGCUCUCUGGGACGGUACUGACGCUGAGACGCGAAAGCGUGGGGAGCGAACAGG
rnacentral:rRNA from 1 species